rnacentral:ncRNA from 23 species
CACUCCUGUUUCUGCCUCAUGUCCUUUUACAACGCAUCCACGGGACAUGGGUUCUAAUUAUGGAGAAGAUCAAGCUUUGAAAUGGCCCGUUUACACAUUUUGAUACAACCGUAUACGGUGUCUCAUUUCAAAGAUCGUGUGGUUGUCUAUCAAUAUAUACUCACUAUGUUUUUCAAAAAACUCUGGGUUGUUUAGAUGCCACUAUAUUU